rnacentral:rRNA from 1 species
ACAGAGUUUGAUCCUGGCUCAGAUUGAACGCUGGCGGCAGGCCUAACACAUGCAAGUCGAGCGGUAGCACAGAGAGCUUGCUCUCGGGUGACGAGCGGCGGACGGGUGAGUAAUGUCUGGGAAACUGCCUGAUGGAGGGGGAUAACUACUGGAAACGGUAGCUAAUACCGCAUAACGUCGCAAGACCAAAGUGGGGGACCUUCGGGCCUCAUGCCAUCAGAUGUGCCCAGAUGGGAUUAGCUGGUAGGUGGGGUAACGGCUCACCUAGGCGACGAUCCCUAGCUGGUCUGAGAGGAUGACCAGCCACACUGGAACUGAGACACGGUCCAGACUCCUACGGGAGGCAGCAGUGGGGAAUAUUGCACAAUGGGCGCAAGCCUGAUGCAGCCAUGCCGCGUGUGUGAAGAAGGCCUUCGGGUUGUAAAGCACUUUCAGCGGGGAGGAAGGCGGUGAGGUUAAUAACCUCACCGAUUGACGUUACCCGCAGAAGAAGCACCGGCUAACUCCGUGCCAGCAGCCGCGGUAAUACGGAGGGUGCAAGCGUUAAUCGGAAUUACUGGGCGUAAAGCGCACGCAGGCGGUCUGUCAAGUCGGAUGUGAAAUCCCCGGGCUCAACCUGGGAACUGCAUUCGAAACUGGCAGGCUAGAGUCUUGUAGAGGGGGGUAGAAUUCCAGGUGUAGCGGUGAAAUGCGUAGAGAUCUGGAGGAAUACCGGUGGCGAAGGCGGCCCCCUGGACAAAGACUGACGCUCAGGUGCGAAAGCGUGGGGAGCAAACAGGAUUAGAUACCCUGGUAGUCCACGCUGUAAACGAUGUCGAUUUGGAGGUUGUGCCCUUGAGGCGUGGCUUCCGGAGCUAACGCGUUAAAUCGACCGCCUGGGGAGUACGGCCGCAAGGUUAAAACUCAAAUGAAUUGACGGGGGCCCGCACAAGCGGUGGAGCAUGUGGUUUAAUUCGAUGCAACGCGAAGAACCUUACCUGGUCUUGACAUCCACAGAACUUUCCAGAGAUGGAUUGGUGCCUUCGGGAACUGUGAGACAGGUGCUGCAUGGCUGUCGUCAGCUCGUGUUGUGAAAUGUUGGGUUAAGUCCCGCAACGAGCGCAACCCUUAUCCUUUGUUGCCAGCGGUUAGGCCGGGAACUCAAAGGAGACUGCCAGUGAUAAACUGGAGGAAGGUGGGGAUGACGUCAAGUCAUCAUGGCCCUUACGACCAGGGCUACACACGUGCUACAAUGGCAUAUACAAAGAGAAGCGACCUCGCGAGAGCAAGCGGACCUCAUAAAGUAUGUCGUAGUCCGGAUUGGAGUCUGCAACUCGACUCCAUGAAGUCGGAAUCGCUAGUAAUCGUAGAUCAGAAUGCUACGGUGAAUACGUUCCCGGGCCUUGUACACACCGCCCGUCACACCAUGGGAGUGGGUUGCCAAAGAAGUAGGUAGCUUAACCUU